rnacentral:rRNA from 1 species
AUGGGCAGAGGCCGAGGAGGCCGCAACCGCAAGCCCCGCAACUCCGCCACCUUCCGCCUCUGCCCGCGCCCCGGCGCCGCCGACCCCUCCGACCGCGUCCUCGUCCGCGUCGACGGCAACCCGUACCGCGUCCCCGGCCUCGACGACUGCUACUGCGCCUUCCCCUCCGCGGCCGCAGGCUAUGACGGCGCCGAGCCCUCGUCCUCGCCCUCCGGGGCCGCCCUUCCCGACCACGUCCGCCGCGCCAUCCUGGAGCUCGGCCUCCCCGACGACGGCUACAACUACCUCGCCCACAUCCGCGAGAUCCGCCCCUCGUACUCCUCCACCGGCGGCGGGGGCUCCUCCGCCGUGUUCCUCCCCACCCGCCGCGCCGCGCGCUGCGGCCUCCCGCUGAGCGUCAAGGCAUACGACGCGCGUGGUGUUGAUGUUGGUCUGGACAAUGUCGCUGCAACGGGAGCGCUGAUUCCAGUGGAGGAGGCCAUCGACCCGGAUGUCACCGAACUGCUUGAGGAGAGGGAGGGUGAGAAUGAGGAUGAGGAGAGGGAGGUGCCACCGGGGACCUUGGAGCAUGAGAAUGAGGAGAGCGAGGUGCCACCGGGGACCGUGGAAGAUGACGAUGAGGAGAGCGGGACCUCGGAGGACGAGGAUUCAGAGCUGGAGGACGAUUUUGUUAUCAUUGCAAAUCAGCCCGAGGAGGAAGACCAGAUGGAUCUGGAGGAUGAUUUUGUUAUCCUUGCAAACCAGCCUGACGGCGAAGAGCAGAUGGACAUGAUGGGCAGCAGGUUGGAGCGAGGCAGAUUCAUGGCUGCCUUAUGGGCAUGUUAA